CAGAGGUCACUUCUGUUCUCUGCAUGUUGGAAAAACCAAAUAGUUCGCCAUGUAAAUAGCAAGGACAGUAUCACGAAGCUAUCUGUAUAAUAUACUCUUUCUAUUCCCCGGCGUGAUGAUUGAUUAUAGUCAAUGAUACUUAAUAGUUUUGAUACCUUUCAGUGACGUUUGUGAAAUCUAAAAUCUGUGUAAAUUGUCUGUGUUAGUUAUGACACUAGGAAACGUAUGUGCUAUUAUUUCCUUGAUUGUGUGUCUUUCAUCAAGAACCCUAAGUGUUGAAGGCGAUUCAAACGGUCGUCCUCCUCAGUCUGAGAAUGGAAGAUUAACGUCAGCGGUCAUUUAUGUUCGGAAAACCGUCAGACAGGUACAAGGAGGCUGGUGUACGAUCCCUGACCAGUUACAGAACGGCCGCUACUCCCCCAGCAGUAAGAGAUGC